GUGCUCGCUUUAGCAGCACAUAUACCAAAAUUGGAACAAUACAGAGAUUAGCAUGGCCCCUGUGCAAGGAUGACAUGCAAACUGGAAAGCAUUCAUAUUUUA
ensembl:snRNA U6 U6 spliceosomal RNA